AUGGACAUGAGGGCCCCUGCUCAGCUCCUUGGACUCCUCCUGCUCUGGCUUCCAGGUGCCAGAUGUGACAUCCAAAUGACCCAGACUCCAACCUCCCUGUCUGCCUCUCUGGGAGACAAAGUCACUAUCACUUGCCGGGCUAGUCAGGAUAUUAGCUAUGCUUUAAACUGGUACCAGCAGAAACCAGGAAAAGCUCCUAAGCUCCUGAUCUAUUACACAGAUAGAUUGGCAGGUGGGGUCCCAUCAAGGUUUAGUGGCAGUGGGUCUGGGACAGAUUAUUCUCUCACCAUCAACAGCCUGGAGUCUGAAGACACUGCAGCUUAUUACUGUCUGCAAGCUGCUAACAACCCUCGCACAGUGAUACAAGUCAUAACAUAA